rnacentral:rRNA from 1 species
CCUACGGGGGGCAGCAGUGGGGAAUAUUGCACAAUGGGGGAAACCCUGAUGCAGCGACGCCGCGUGAGUGAAGAAGUAAUUCGUUAUGUAAAGCUCUAUCAGCAGGGAAGAAAAUGACCGUACCUGAGUAAGAAGCCCCGGCUAACUACGUGCCAGUAGCCGCGGUAAUACGAAGGGUGCAAGCGUUCUCUGGAUUUACUGGGUGUAAAGGGAGCGUAGACGGCAGUGCAAGUCUGGAGUGAAAGGCGGGGGUUCAACCCCCGAACUGCUCUGGAAACUGUACGGCUGGAGUGCGGGAGAGGUAAGUGGAAUUCCUGGUGUAGCGGUGAAAUGCGUAGAUAUUAGGAGGAACACCAGUGGCGAAGGCGGCUUACUGGAAUGUAACUGACGUUGAGGCUCGAAAGCGUGGGGAGCAAACAGGAUUAGAUACCCUGGUAGUC